AAGAUCAGAGGUGUUGAACAGCGCUCAACAGAGGGAGCGCUUGCCAAAGUUCCCUAUAACUGCGACACAAAUUGUGGCGAGUGCUUUAAUGAACACGCUUCUGGCAUGCACCUGGCAAUUACGGUGUCCUAUAUAUAUUCAAUCCAAGAUUGCGUCAGAAAUUAGAGUAUUUCACGAGGCGAAGCGGAGGGAAGUGUUGUUAAUUCUGUCCUAAAAACCAGCAUAAGCAGAUAGCAUGAAAACUCUUUCACGUUGUAGGCUGUGUUGAUGGAACAAAAUCAAGAUUUCUACGUACACCAACUGCAAAUGAGUCUGACUUUGUUAACAGAAAAAAGAUUCCAUAGGCUAAAUGUUCAGUCUGGCAGGAACAAUUUUUAAAUGUAUAGGCCUUAAGGACUUUGAUUGUAAAUUAAAAAUAUACAUAAAUAGGUGACCUUUAAUGCUUUACAGUUACUUAUAUCCAUAGACAUUUUUUAAUGAUGAAUACUAUAAAAAAAAAACUAGUUUAUGACAUUCCUUGGAGCAAAUCAUGUUGAAAAAUAUAAAAAAUUAAAUCACAGGUCAUAUAAUUGCUUUUCAACAAAAUAUAGAGAUUCAGAAUGUCAGAUUUUUUGUAAUAAUUAUGAGCAUGUUCAAAAAAUGUUUUGUAAUAACUAAAAUGCCAUUUUUGGAACACGUUUACAAGUAUUUAUAAAUGUGUUUGUCUUUAAGGAUAACCUCCUACCACUAUUCAGAAAUCUGGAAAUCAAUAUCUUUGUCAACAAUUUGAAAAUGGUAUUGUGUGUCGUUUAAUUCUUCACUUCAGCAACAAUGAGUAUAAUCAUACAUGUUUCCAAUGAAAUAUGCAUAAUCACUCUAUAAAACAAGUAUGUAAAUGUAUUUAUAUAUGCUGUUAGUGAUUAAUAUUUUGUUUUAUGUACAAAAAAUAGUUGAAAUCUAGACACGCACGACAGUCUGUUACUGGAUCAUUUUGGCUAUAUCUUUACCAGAUAUUUGGUGACCCUUUAUAAUCAUGGACAACUGUUGAAGAGAGAUUCAAUGCCAGUUUGUACCAGACACGGGUUCCUAAUGAACAGACAAUUGGGAUCUUGAAAGGAAGUUACAAAAACUUCAUUUUGCACUUAGGACAUGUCCAGAACAAGCUGUAAAAUACAUUUCUGUAACAUGUAUCCUUCAAAACAAAGCCAUUGCCCGAUUAACAGUCGUAUAAGUGACAACUCAUAAUUAUGUGUUGCCUCAGCAUCAGGUACUUACAGUUUCAGUUCAGAAUCCUGCUGCACCUGCCAGAAAUGAUGGAGAGCUGCAAUCUUCAAUGGACUUUUCUAUGCCACUUUAUGUACCUUAAAAGUAAAAUACAGCCACUAUUGAACUUUUCAGACUUUAUUAUUGAGAUUAUAUUGUUGAGAUUUUGUUAUUGUCAUUUUUCAUACAAAUUCAAUAAACGCAUUUACGAGCUAAGCACAUCUAUUAAGUAUAACACAACAGACAUUUUUCUCUACUGGUACAGUUUUAAACAAAACAUAGCAAUGAACUGAUAUAAAACAAGAAUGACAGAGUUUAUUUAUUACGUCAUUUGAGUCACACCACCUAUUGCAGUAAUGCUAUUGGUCUGCAGUCGUGCUCCGUCCGUUAACAAUUAAUUUUACAUUUUGGGCUUUUUGAAAAAAUACACCGAGAAUUGUUACCAUUUUUGGUUUGUAGCUUUUCUUAGGGUAAGAGAAAUCUACAUUGUAAAA